UGUCUGAUGUGAGAAUGAAAAGCAGCUUCAAGAGGAUAACAGAUUUAAUGGUGUUAUAUUUCCCUGAAGUUUACGGUGUUCUAUAGACAACAAAAUCGUCCCUGAAUGAGCAAACCUGCGAUUGAAGCAUUCCGGGAAGGUAUGAAAAUAAACCAGGUAUCGCUACUUCAAAAUAUUUGCUAUGAGUGAAGAAUCCGACUGCAUUUCUAAUAAUUCCAUCUGCAGGCUUUCUUCUACCUUAGCAACAUCAAAGGCGAAUGGUGCUGAGAAUAAUGCAAACGGAUGUUCAAAAGAUGAGAAAUCACGAAAUCUUUCACGAAAUUCCUUUGACAACAAUUCCAGCCAUUCGACUGCAGUGAUGCUGGGACAACACAUGGAAGAAUUCUAGUCGAAUGAAUCGACCCCAGUACAUUUUCAACCUGG
rnacentral:lncRNA from 1 species